rnacentral:sRNA from 1 species
CUGUUGAGGAGAAAUAAGAUGAACGUGACUAUCAAUACCGCCGGCAGUAAUAAUUAACCCUUCGGCUGAAACAACUUCUGUCGCUGGACCAAUUGGUAGUGUCACAUUUGGUUGAAUAUCCGGAUUUCCCGCUUUACCAAUACCACUAAUUCGCCCAUGCUUUACUGAAAUAUCCGCUUUAAUGAUCCCCCAAUGAUCAAUAAUUAAAACAUUAGAAAUGACUAAAUCUGCAACUUUAGCAUCACUUAACUGGCUUUGCCCCAUACCAUCAC